GUAAAUGCGUAGGGAAAUAACGCAGGAGCUCCUGCUCAGGCCCAGGUCCAGGUCAUCCGAAUCUAUUUAAACCUAGCCUUUCAGCACGAAAUGACGAAACCUUGCCCGCCAUUUCGUUCCCUCCCAAAAUGUCGAACACAGUAAUUUCUCUCCAGACCUUCAUCUUUCGCUCUCAAGUCAGCUACAGAAGAUUUGAUGAUUAAACGCUUCGAAUUAUAUCGGUUCUGGUUUUCAAAGAUGUGGAAUCGUUAACGGAAGCACCGAAGAACUUGAGAGUUUUUGAGAUCUCAAUCUCUGAAUGCUAUCGGAGCUUCUGACUAUAGAAUUCUAUGUUCGUGCUUUCGCUCUUCUAGGGGUAUUGAGGUUAUAAUAACGACUACUACAAUUUCAAUUGCUGUUUUGAAGAUUUCUUGAAUACGUAAGCCUUGUGAAAAUGCACUAUCAAGCAUUGAAAUGAAUGAUACAGCAGAAAACGGAUGAAUUCUCAAAUUAUUGAAGUGAGUCCUUGGCAGCCUCAAACUCAGAUUUUUCGGAUGGGAUUUUCGCCAGUCUUUUAUUGAUCAUUUAAUACUCCAUAAAGAAACCAAGUGCAGCAAAGUACCUGACAAAGAAGACAAUUGAGAAAAGAAGAUUGCAACCUUCACUAUGUAAAGAAACCAAGUGUACUGCAAGCAUUUUGUUCAGUUACAGAAUUAAGAAGCAGAAUGUACGAAAUUGAUGAACUUCAAAGUAAUUAGCUGCUUUCAAAUGGAUCAGAAUCCUUCCAAUCAUGAGGCCAAUUCCAGUCUUUUUCAU